GCCUGGGCACCAGGGCCCUGAUUUCAUGCAAGCUGGGAAUCCUCACUUGGCCAUGGGGAACCUGUGUCCACCGGUGCUGGGGACCCAGAAGGGGGACGCCUCCUACCAAACGCAACGGUUCCCAUUUGAGGUUUGGGAGGAGCCAUGACUACAAUCAACAUGCAGAAUGAAUCCAUUAUAGAAUGUGAGCCUCGUGCUGACAAAAGGCAGAACACCCUCUUACCAUCGGAACCUGCUGACUACCGCAGAUCUCUAAAACUUCUUGAACUCAGUUCUGCUUCUGGCUGACUGAAGUGUGACAACCAGGCUGUGGUUUUAUGCAGAAAACACAAAGGACUGUAAGGUUUGGGGGCUGCAUGAUUCAGAGAAGUUCAACACGCAGCUGCCUGCUGGCAACAAAGACUUUCUUUUCAGCUCUUCAAGUGUCCAUGCUGUAGUCUCCGGGGAGCUCACCUUGAAACUCCACCAAGUAUAAUAAACACAAACACUCCGUAACAUGGGUGGCACAAAUGUGCGAUUCCAGCACUUAAUGUUGCUGAGAUCCAUGUAUUGGGAGUUUGAGGCCACCCUGGGCUGUGUAGGAUAUUCCAGUCAACCUGGGCUCUACAGCAAGACCAUGUCUCAAACUACCUGACUAACUCAGAGCUAUUUAUUUUCAUGUGUAUCCCUCUAAAAGCUGUCCUCCAAACUGGACUAUAAACUCAGAGGAAACAGAAGUGGCAUCUUUAUUUCUUCCUAGUUACUGAUAAAGAGGUCGACUAACUCAGAAAAUUUAAGGGAAGCCCUUGGAAAUCUUUCAGAAAGUACAAUGUAGAUCUUCCUUCUCAUAAUAAAUUA